UAAAUUCAAUUAAAAUAAAUAAUAAUCUAAUAAUUCAAAUGGCACAAGUGCCACCGUU
rnacentral:rRNA from 13 species